GUAGUGUGUAUAGUGAAUGCAGAGUGCAUGUUUGUGUAAGAAUGUAGUGUAUGUAUAGUGAAUGCAGAGUGUGUGUUUGUGUAAGGAUGUAGUCUAUGUAUAGUGAAUGCAGAGUGUGUGUUUGCGUAGUGGAUGUAGUGUAUGUAUAGUGAAUGCAGAGUGCGUGUUUGUGUAGUGGAUGUAGUGCGUGUUUGUGUAGUGGAUGGAGUGUGUGUAUAGUGAAUGCAGAGUGCGUGUAUAUUGUAUGCAGAGUAUGUGUUUUUGUAGUGUAUGUAGUGUGUGUAUAGUGAAUGCACAGUGCAUGUUUGUGUAGUGGAUGUAGUGUGUGUAUAGUGAAUGCAGAGUGCUUGUUUGUGUAGUGUGUGUAUAGUGAAUGCAGAUUGUGUGUUUGUGUAGUGGAUGGAGUGUGUGUAUAGUGAAUGCAGAGUGUGUGUUUGUGUAGUGAAACUAGUGUAUGUAUAGUGAAUGCAGAGUGUGUGUUUGUGUAGUGGAUGGAGUGUGUGUAUAGUGAAUGUAGAGUGUGUGUUUGUGUAGUUAAAGUAGUGUGUGUAUAGUGAAUGCAGAGUGUGUGUUUGUGUAGUGAGAGUAGUGUGUGUAUAGUGACUGCAUAGUGUAUGUUUGUGUAAGGAUGUAGUGUGUAUAGUGAAUGCAGAGUAUGUGUUUGUGUAGUGGAUGUAGUGUGUGUAUAGUGAAUGCAGAGUGCGUGUUUGUGUAGUGGAUGUAGUGUAUGUUUGUUGAAUGCAGAGUGUGUGUUUGUGUAGUGAGAGUAGUGUGUGUAUAGUGACUGCAUAGUGUAUGUUUGUGUAAGGAUGUAGUCCUUGUAUAUUGGAUGCAAAGUUUGUUUGUGUAGUGGAUGUAGUGUGUAUAGUGAAUGCAGAGUAUGUGUUUGUGUAGUGGAUGUAGUGUGUGUAUAGUGAAUGCAGAGUGCGUGUUUGUGUAGUGGAUGUAGUGUGUGUUUGUUGAAUGCAGAAUGUGGGUUUGUGUAGGGAUACAUUGUGUGUAAAUGUUGUGUAAAAUAGGGUCUGCGUUCUGUGGGGGGAGGGGGAAAGCAUUUUUGUUUUAUUUUAUUCCCUUCUCCCUGCUUCUUACCUGUAGCCAGGGAGGGGGAAAUCACAUUCCCUGGUGGUCUGGUAGCAUGGUGGAGGGAGCCCGCCGCUCUACACUGCAGAGGGGGCCUAGCCAGUGCCAUCUUCAUCUGACAGCAGCUCCUCUUUCUCUAACUCUAGUGAGCCUUGCCUGUGUGCCUGGUAGAGUGUUGCCAUGGUAACCCGUGAAAAAUGCUCUGACGGUCGCUGGGAUUCGAGAGUUAAAGUUAAGACGGAGUGUGCUGGGCACUCUCUGCAGUGAACAGGGAGCAGGGGGCCCGCAGGUGCAAACAUAAAUAUAUAUAUAUAGUAAUAAUCACUCUAUAAACG